UAUUUAAGCCAUGUGUCACUUGUCGCGUCAUUGUCUUUCGUCGUGGAUGUGCGUAGUUCCUGUCUGCCGUUUUCCCCCAUGGUUGCUGCGUGUUUUUUGCCCCUUGGCGUUUUGCUUUUGCCUUUUUGACAAUUAAAGUCUUUUGCUUUCCAAGAAGUCUGCGUUUGAGUCCUGCCUCCUCUACGCAUCCUUGACACAGCCCUUAUCAUGGCGGCCACCUCCACCACUAACCAUGAUCCAUGGAAACCUGUGAGGUUGUUCUGACUGCACCAGCUGCCUCCCGUCUCUAGUCUACUCGACUCGUCAUCGACCCCGAUGAAGCCGAUGACGGCUGUGUUGUCUGUGAACUUUCUGAGUUGUUUUUGUCUUUUUUCAUUGGUGGGUUUAAUGUUUUGACUGUAAUCAAUAAAUGUAAUUCAUUCA